rnacentral:rRNA from 1 species
UUAAGGGUGCAGGGCGGAUGCCUUGGCACUAGGAGCCGAUGAAGGACGUGAUAAGCUGCGAUAAGCUUCGGGGAGUUGCACGUAAACUUUGAUCCGAAGAUUUCCGAAUGAGGAAACUCACUUAGAGUAAUGUCUAAGUAUCAUUAAGUGAAUACAUAGCUUAAUGAGGGGAACUCAGGGAACUGAAACAUCUAAGUACCUGAAGGAAGAGAAAGAAAUUCGAUUCCGUAAGUAGCGGCGAGCGAACGCGGAUUAGCCCAAACCAAUAAAGUUUUCUUUGUUGGGGUUGCGGACAUAUCAUAACGAAGAGGUAUCGUAAUUGAAGAGGUUUGGAAAGACCCACCACAGAAGGUAAUAGUCCUGUAUGUUAAACGAGAAGACUUCAGAUAUGAUCCAGAGUACCACGGGACACGUGAAACCCUGUGGGAAGCAGGAGGGACCACCCUCCAAGGCUAAAUACUACCUAGUGACCGAUAGCGUAUAGUACCGUGAGGGAAAGGUGAAAAGAACCCCGGGAGGGGAGUGAAAUAGAACCUGAAACCCUGCACUUACAAGCUGUGGAAGCACAUUUCUUGUGUGACCGCGUACUUUUUGUAGAACGGGCCAACGAGUUACGUUAAGUAGCAAGGUUAAGCACUUAAGGUGCGGAGCCGUAGCGAAAGCGAGUUUUAACUGAGCGUUCAGUUACUUGACGUAGACCCGAAACCGGGCGACCUACCCAUGAGCAGGAUGAAGCGAAAGUAAAAUUUCGUGGAGGUCCGAACCCACGAGCGUUGAAAAGCUCGGGGAUGACUUGUGGGUAGCGGUGAAAUUCCAAUCGAGCCCGGAGAUAGCUGGUUCUCCCCGAAAUAGCUUUAGGGCUAGCCUCAAGGUGAGAGAUACGGAGGUAGAGCACUGAAUGUCCUAGGGGGUAUUGCACCUACCGAAGACUAUCAAACUCCGAAUGCCGUCAUCUUAUACUUGGGAGUCAGACUGUGGGUGAUAAGAUUCAUAGUCGAAAGGGCAACAGCCCAGAUCGUCAGCUAAGGUCCCUAAAUGUAAGUUAAGUGGUAAAGGAUGUGGGAUUGCACAGACAACCAGGAUGUUGGCUUAGAAGCAGCCACUCAUUCAAAGAGUGCGUAAUAGCUCACUGGUCGAGUGAUCCUGCGCCGAAGAUUUCCGGGGCUAAAACUUACUACCGAAGCUACGGCAUCAUUAUGAUGGGUAGGGGAGCUUCCCAUACGGGUUGAAGCAUGACCGUAAGGACAUGUGGACAGUAUGGGAGUGAGAAUGUUGGCAUGAGUAGCGAGAUGUGGGUGAGAAUCCCACAGGCCGUAAACCCAAGGUUUCCAGGGGAAGGUUCGUCCGCCCUGGGUUAGUCGGGACCUAAGCUGAGGCCGAAAGGCGUAGGUGAUGGACAACAGGUUGAUAUUCCUGUACUACCGAUAACCAUUUGAGAGAAGGGAUGACACAGUAGGAUAAGCUAAGCACACUGUUGGUUAUGUGUGCCCAAGCAUUGAGGCAGUCAAAGUAGGCAAAUCCGCUUUGAUAAUGCUGGGAUGUGAUGGGGAGCGAAAUUUAGUAGCGAAGUAGCUGAUUUCACACUGUCAAGAAAAGUCUCUAUCGAGGUUAAAGGUACCCGUACCGCAAACCGACACAGGUGGGUGAGGAGAGUAUCCUAAGGCCAGCGAGAGAACUGUUGUUAAGGAACUCGGCAAAAUGACCCCGUAACUUAGGGAUAAGGGGUGCCACCAUCCGGUGGCCGCAGAGAAUAGGCCCAAGCGACUGUUUACCAAAAACAUAGGUUUCUGCUAAGUCGCAAGACGAUGUAUAGGAGCUGACGCCUGCCCGGUGCUGGAAGGUUAAGGGGAUCUGUUAGAGCAAUCGAAGCAGUGAACUUAAGCCCCAGUAAACGGCGGCCGUAACUAUAACGGUCCUAAGGUAGCGAAAUUCCUUGUCGGGUAAGUUCCGACCCGCACGAAAGGCGUAACGAUUUGGGCACUGUCUCAACAACAGACUCGGUGAAAUUGUAAUUCCGGUGAAGAUGCCGGAUACCUGCGACAGGACGGAAAGACCCCAUGGAGCUUUACUGUAGCUUGACAUUGGGUCUUGGUACUACAUGUACAGGAUAGGUGGGAGGCUUUGAAACCAGGACGCCAGUUUUGGCGGAGCCAUCCUUGGGAUACCACCCUUGUAGUACUGGGACUCUAACCAUAGGCCAUGAAUCUGGUCUUGGGACACUGUCAGGUGGGCAGUUUGACUGGGGCGGUCGCCUCCCAAAAGGUAACGGAGGCGCUCAAAGGUUCUCUCAGUACGGUCGGAAAUCGUACGUAGAGUGUAAAGGCAAAAGAGAGCUUGAUUGCAAGACAUACAGGUCGAGCAAGGAUGAAAAUCGGACUUAGUGAUCCGGUGGUUCUGCGUGGAAGGGCCAUCGCUCAACGGAUAAAAGCUACCCUGGGGAUAACAGGCUUAUCUCCCCCAAGAGUCCACAUCGACGGGGAGGUUUGGCACCUCGAUGUCGGCUCAUCACAUCCUGGGGCUGUAGUAGGUCCCAAGGGUUGGGCUGUUCGCCCAUUAAAGUGGUACGCGAGCUGGGUUCAGAACGUCGUGAGACAGUUCGGUCCCUAUCCGUCGCAGGCGUAGGAAAUUUGAGAAGACCUGUCCUUAGUACGAGAGGACCGGGAUGGACGUACCUCUGGUGUACCAGUUGUUCUGCCAAGGGCAUGGCUGGGUAGCUAUGUACGGAAUGGAUAAGCGCUGAAAGCAUCUAAGCGCGAAGCCAACUUCAAGAUAAGAUUUCCCACCGCAAGGGUAAGACCCCAGAAAGACUAUCUGGUUGAUAGGUCGAAGGUGUAAGUGCAGCAAUGUAUUUAGCUUAUCGAUACUAAUAGGUCGAGGACUUGACCAA